rnacentral:rRNA from 1 species
UACGUAGGUCCCGAGCGUUGUCCGGAUUUAUUGGGCGUAAAGCGAGCGCAGGUGGUUUAUUAAGUCUGGUGUAAAAGGCAGUGGCUCAACCAUUGUAUGCAUUGGAAACUGGUAGACUUGAGUGCAGGAGAGGAGAGUGGAAUUCCAUGUGUAGCGGUGAAAUGCGUAGAUAUAUGGAGGAAUACCGGUGGCGAAAGCGGCUCUCUGACCUGUAACUGACACUGAGGCUCGAAAGCGUGGGGAGCAAACAGG